CGUGCGCAGCUACCAUGCAGUCGACGUGAUUAGAGAGCUUGCUCUCUAUGAAAGUGGCGCACGGGUGAGUAACGCGUAGAUAAUCUGCCUGAUUGGUCUGGGAUAACACUUCGAAAGGGGUGCUAAUACCGGAUAAGCCCACGAGCUCUUUGGAGCAUGCGGGAAAAGGGGGGGACCUUCGGGCCUUCUGCCAUCAGAUGAGUCUGCGUACCAUUAGCUAGUUGGUAGGGUAAAGGCCUACCAAGGCGACGAUGGUUAGCUGGUCUGAGAGGAUGAUCAGCCACACUGGAACUGAGACACGGUCCAGACUCCUACGGGAGGCAGCAGUGGGGAAUUUUGCGCAAUGGGGGAAACCCUGACGCAGCAACGCCGCGUGAGUGAUGAAGGCCCUUGGGUCGUAAAGCUCUGACAGAGGGAAAGAAAUGUGGGUGGCUAAUAUCCAUACCACUUGACGGUACCCUCAAAGGAAGCACCGGCUAACUCCGUGCCAGCAGCCGCGGUAAUACGGGGGGUGCAAGCGUUGUUCGGAUUUAUUGGGCGUAAAGCGCGUGUAGGCGGUUUUAUAAGUCUGAUGUGAAAGCCCCGGGCUCAACCUGGGAAGUGCAUUGGAUACUGUAAGACUUGAAUACGGGAGAGGGCAGUGGAAUUCCUGGUGUAGGAGUGAAAUCCGUAGAUAUCAGGAGGAACACCGGUGGCGAAGGCGGCUGCCUGGACCGAUAUUGACGCUGAGACGCGAAAGCGUGGGUAGCAAACAGGAUUAGAUACCCUGGUAGUCCACGCCGUAAACGAUGAGUACUAGGUGUUGCGGGUAUUGACCCCUGCAGUGCCGCAGCUAACGCAUUAAGUACUCCGCCUGGGAAGUACGGUCGCAGACUAAAACUCAAAGGAAUUGACGG
rnacentral:rRNA from 1 species